UUAGUACUCCCUCCACCCCGAAUUACUUGUCGCUGAUAUGUACGUAUCUAGAUGUAUUUUAGUUCUAGAUACAUCCAUUUCUGCGAUGAGUAAUUUGGGACGGAGGGAGUAAUAA
rfam:Triticum aestivum genome assembly, contig: Triticum_aestivum_CS42_TGACv1_scaffold_229535_3B